CAAUAGCGUAUAUUUAAGUUGUUGCAGUUAAAAAGCUCGUAGUUGGAUUUCGGUUGAGAACGGCCGGUCCGCCGCUUGGUGUGCACUGGCUGGUUUCAACUUCCUGUAGAGGACGCGCUCUGGCUUCACGGCUGGACGCGGAGUCUACGUGGUUACUUUGAAAAAAUUAGAGUGUUCAAAGCGGGCUUACGCUUGAAUAUUUCAGCAUGGAAUAACACUAUAGGACUCCUGUCCUAUUUCGUUGGUCUCGGGACGGGAGUAAUGAUUAAGAGGAACAGUUGGGGGCAUUCGUAUUUCAUUGUCAGAGGUGAAAUUCUUGGAUUUAUGAAAGACGAACUUCUGCGAAAGCAUUUGCCAAGGAUGUUUUCAUUAA
rnacentral:rRNA from 1 species